GUUUAAGAGUUUCAAAAAACAAAUUAAUUUACAAAACAAAAAACUAAAUCACAACAAAAUCAAAAUGCAUAAAACUCAAGAAUCAACUAGCAAAUGUAGUUUCCCAACGUCCAAACACAACAUCAAAAGCAGCACCGGAUAGCGAGGGGAACAUUUUUUCUAGGCUUCAAUCCAUACAACCUUGGAACAGUUUUACCAAAUCGUCAUUCAAAUUUUUAGGAAGCCACAAAUUAUAAAAUAUAGAAUAUGACUCAGUCCCUUAGAUGUUCAUAAAAUGCGAUCAUUUUCGCAAAUCAUUACAGGUCUGUAUUGGGCUCAUCACAGUCAAUUAACAUUAAACUAUAUUAUAAACAACAGUAUGUAAUAAUAAAAUAUGUAUGUAGCUGCCUCAAAUGUAUUCUUCAAUUAAAUCGAUUGAAGAUUAUAAAAAGGUUAAGACAGCACGCUUCAUCUUGCUUCUAGGGAACGAGUCAGACAGAAACUAAUUGAAUUCAUGCCGACCAGAUAAGCGAAGCCUUGAACACAUAUAAACACUGAAAUGGAAAAAUCAAUUUAUAACAUACAAACAGGCUUCAACUGGAAUGUAAACCCUAAUUUGAGGAUUUGGAGGAAGACAUGAGUUGU
rnacentral:lncRNA from 1 species